rnacentral:rRNA from 1 species
AUUCCAGCUCCAAUAGCGUAUAUUAAAGUUGUUGCAGUUAAAAAGCUCGUAGUUGGAUUUCUGGGAGGGUGCCAAUGUCCGUCGUCGUACGUGUUGCAGCGGCGCCCUUCCAUCCUUCUGUUAACGACUUUGGGCAUUCACUUGCCGGAGUCGGGCUCAGAUAUUUUACCUUGAGAAAAUUAGAGUGUUUCAGGCAGGCUAGGCCGGAAUACAUUAGCAUGGAAUAAUGGAAUAGGACUACGGUCUCUUUGUUGGUUUGAGGGACUGCAGUAAUGAUUAAUAGGGAUAGUUGGGGGCAUUCGUAUUAAGCGGUCAGAGGUGGAAUUCUUGGAUUCGCUUACGACGAACUACUGCGAAAGCAUUUGUCAAGAAUGUUUUCAUUG